CGCGCAAUCAGACCUGCCGCUGGUAAUUUUAACGAUCCUAAUUUUAAAUAAUAACAAAAUACUUUCCUUUUGUGCUAUUUUUGAUAAUCUAUUAGCUGUGACUGUGCUUUUUGUGUUGUGGACUUGCAAAACGAAGGCAAGGCGAAGGUACCUUAUAACCUCUAAGAUCUGCAGACACCCGAAACUGAGCCCUCGACCAAUUUGUCACGCCGUUUUGAGUUUGGGUGGACUGAAGGCGUAUUUGAGUACCUAGAAGCUAAGAUCGUAUUUCGAUGUAUACUGUUCAGAGGUCCUGUGUCGCUCCAGAUUUGUUCAUUUUAUAUUAAUCUUCAAUGGUAUUGUUUUAGACUCUUCGACGCUCCUUCUUUAAAGUUACUGUGUGGCUCAUGUAAACUUCACUCGUUUUUUUUCUCAAUCUACACUUGGGGUCACCAGGUGUCUUGUGGACUACAGUUUCAUCGUUGGUGAAUAUAAACGUGGUGAAACACAAGGAGCUAUAAACGGCAGUGAAUCACUUCUGAACGUAAGACUAAUUUAUAAAAUGAACAGACAAAGCAUGGAAAUAAACAGUGACAGCAGCACAAUAACCCGCCCUACGAAGAGUCCCGGAAGUACGUCGGAUACGUCAACGCGUCAAUGUAGUCUUAGAGAACUGUCUAGUUCAAAAUAGCCUCGGCAUCGUUGCAGUUCUAGUAACUGCUCUAAUCACUUUGAAGCCAAACAGCGUACCAGACGUAAAAGCAGACGAAGCACGCGUAGUCGUAACAGAGAGCGGACACGCAGAAAUUGUUAUAACCGAAGUAGACGGCGAAGGCGAAGCCACAGUACACAAAGACAGCGCUCACGCAGUCGAAUCAAUCACAGGCGAUAUGUAAGUCGUUGCAGAAACAGCCAGUGUAAGCAUAGUCUCUGCAGGCAAAGCCUAUCUGCGCGCCAUCGUAGUAUCAGAUGGCAAACACAACAUCAGAACAGCAGACAGUGCAUGCGCCGUCGACGCCGCAACCGGCAAGUGCGAAGACAUUUUGGUAACAGACAGCGCGCAUGGAGUUAUUGUAGCUGCAACCAAUGCGCACGUAACCGAAGUUUAAGUCAAAGCUCGCGCAGCCAAAGCAGCGAAAACAGUAGAAACCAAAGCGAAUGCAAUCCAAGUCACAACCUAGACAGACUCGGUCGAUACCAUAACCGGAAUACUCGCAAUAUAAGCAACGGCCAACGCGCGCAUAACCCAAGAGCAAGUCAGAGUGCGUAUACUCGAAGCAACAGCCUGCGUGAUCAAAAUAGCCUCCAAACCACGCACCAUCCAAGUACCAGCCAGAAUCAAAGGCAUCCCGUCUGCCAUCAUAAGACAUCCCAUAACAACAGAAACCAGAUUGCGUGUAUUCAAGGCAGUAGCCGAUCUACGCAUAGUCCAAGCCUGUGCAGUCAACGCACCCGUGGGGCUAGCUACAGUGGUAGCACAUACAGUGCAAGUAGCAGGGGAAGUGCACUCGGUUCAAGCUGCAAGGAGAGUUCGAGCACUCCUAGCAAUGUAACAGACUUGCGCGGUCCUUACUGCAGCCAAUUAGCGUACAGUGAUAGGUAUAGCCAAGAUACAAGCAGUUCAAGCUCCGGCUUGAACUACUCGUCGGACUGAAAGAACUGCGUAGUCCAAGAAACAUCGUAGAAAUGUACAAUGCAAGCACUAGACAGAGCGCGUGCAGUGAAAAAGCGCGCAUUUACAAUGUACACAUUUGAUUACGUAAUGUCUAGAUAGUAUCACUUCAAGAAAAGCAGAAAAAUAUUGCAUUGAACUGUUCAUUGCAAUGCAAAACUUGCCUGUCAAGUAAUACCAACCGUGUCACUAAGGCACCACUACGUGCCAUGCACACGGCAAAAUAAAAAUUAGCAAUGCCAUUUUUGUUGCUAUUGCAUGGUGACAUCCUAUCUAAAUAUUAUUUAUUCAAAGAUGUAGACAGUUAUUUGAUAUGCGGAUAAGAAAAUAAAGGUGAUUUAGUACCAAAUACCUAUGCUGACUGUAAAGUUAUAUAGUUCAAACUACGGCCAGAUCAAGUUCAGACCAACCGACUUGAACCUGCAAAUAGGGCACGGGCAAUGUAAGCUAAAAUUCAUGCACGUACAAUCCAUUCAGUAGAAAGCCUACACGCUGCCAAACCGCACAUACAAUCAAAGCUGCACACUGCACAGACUAGAGAAAACACGCCCAGUCGUGGUGGGCGUCAUGGUCGUGCAGUCCAACUUGAAAAGAGCGCUUUGGCAGUAAAAUUUUGAGUUUGCCAAAAAAGCAGGAGCUAACAUAGGCAGUCUAUACCGUAGAGUGCGCACGCGUUGUCGGAUGAGCAACCAGUAUCUACGCAACGCGGUAGCGAACCAGUCAUACAUAACCGCGAAAUUUGGCGUAUCAGAAACCAGGACUACGGACAUGCCCUCAAGUGCAGCUAAAGUUGCCAACUGGUAUUUGACCAUUGUAGAGACUCAGGUCGCCAAAUCACAUAUACCUACUCCUAAUCAUUAUUACCAAAUAAUUUUGGCUAGGUGUAUUCUACUAAAUUAAUACGAAUCUUUACCACUGAUGGGGACUUACUAAUAUUACUACAAUGACCACAUACAGGGUGACUUGUAACUCGAAGUAUUCCUCUCGGGUAACACAUUAAAUAGUGUGAUAUGACAUGUUCGGAAGCGUGCCUUCAUUUGUGUGCAACGCGAAGGUGGACUUGUGCAAGAGUUAUGUGGAUAAGUAGGUAGGGAGUGUGUAAAUAACUGUAAAUACGAUGCAAUUGUUGUAAAUAAGAUUGUUAACUUUAAAAUACGCUAAGUUACAGUUUAUCGUUAUUUGAUAUUAAUUUAAAUUAAAAAAUACGGUUCCUACGCUAACCUGACAGUGCAAAGCCUGUUUUAAGUGUGAUGGGAAGUUUAUUAUCUUAUUUACCUACAUCAGCUUUUCGGAAGAAUGUCGUACCUAGUAAGUAAUUGCACUUGUUAGCCUGCAUAUGGAGAUUACAUUAGAUAGUGACGAACUAGUCAGCUGAUUUCUGUUUUCAUUCUCAGUACACGUGGAAAGAGAUGGUUUCCAUUGACUAGGCGAUGCAUCGCGCGUAAUUUGUGAACCACAUUAUGCUGAAUACC